UGCAAUCGAGAUAAAGCUGACUACCUUCAUAAUUUGGUGAAAGAAGGUGAGCAAUGCAGCCAUUAUAUAUUUGAAGGUCCUGCUGGAGUAGGGAAGACAACUAUGGUUUGGGCUUUCUUAAGAGAAGCUUUAGGAGUCGAAGAUUUACUGACAAGGGAAGAGCGCAA